GAUGAACGCUGACAGAAUGCUUAACACAUGCAAGUCGACUGUUGCUGACUGGUGAGUAACUCGUAAAGAACUUGCCUCACAGUUAGGGACAACAUUUGGAAACGAAUGCUAAUCCCUGAUACUGUGGGAGAGCUUUGCGUCCCAUUAGCUAGUUGGAGAGGUAACGGCUCACUAAGGCGAGGAUGGGUAGCCGGCCUGAGAGGGUGAUCGGCCACAAGGGGACAGGGACACCACCCUUAGUCCAACGGGAGGCAGCAGUGGGGAAUAUUGGACAAUGGACCAAAGUAUGAUCCAGCAAUUCUGUGUGUACGAUGAAGUUUUGGGAAUGUAAAGGGCUUUCAGUUGAGAAGCGGUACCAGCAGAAGAAGUGACGGCUAAAUACGUGCCAGCAGCCGCGGUAAUAC
rnacentral:rRNA from 1 species